rnacentral:misc_RNA from 1 species
CUGAGUUUCUUGGUUUCUCUCCCUCUCAAGGUAAUUUUUGGCUCUUUUUGUGAAUGGUGGAAGUUUAUUGUAAAGAAUUGUAAUUCUCCAAAUCAGUAUGCAGUCAAGUUUGCAGGUCUCCUGUGUUGGCACAUAUAGAAAGGAACACUGCUAUUUUUCAAGCCUAAGAUUUGAAUCCUAUUAUCACUAUUCAAAAAGCGAAGAAUGACAUUGCUGAGGUUUUGAAUUCAAUUCCUCCACAACAUCAUUCUCUGCUCUUGAAUUCAAAUCUUAUGAAUCAGGUUCAAAAGAAGUGGAUGGCCCUGGAUCUUGGAUGCUUGAAAGCUAAUAUGGACGCUUCUUUUGAUCCUGGUUCGGGCCAAGCCGGUUAUGGAGUGAUUGUCCGCAAUUUGCAGGGCCUGACAUUUUAAGUAAUGGUUGCUAUGAACUUGCCGCAUCAUUGGACAAGAUAGAGUGAUAUUCAAGUUGAAUUCUUGCUGCAUCACUGAUAAGGUUGCAAUGAACUUGCUGCAUCUCAGGCCAUAACAAGAAUGGCCUUUGGUGAUUGCAUGUAGCAACUGAUACUCCAUCCCAUAUUUUCUUGACACACCCAUCACUGUUAGCUGCCUGUCCAACAGAUGAAGUUAGAAGCUGAUAAUGAUAUCGAAUGGCUUGAACAUUUAUGGAGACUCUAAUAGGAGGCAAAAGCAAUAUAAGCUAAAUGGAUUACAAUUUAUGAAUCAACACAUCAAAAGUAUGUGCAUCAUUGCAGGCUUUAGGUAAUCAACAGCUUUUACCUCAGGGCCAUAUAUGUUCUGUUGUAAUAAGGAUGUAUUUAACAAAAUGCAGCCCAUAAAUGAUAAAUUGUCCUCUACAAAGCAAGUGCAAAUACAGUAAAAUAGCACACAAGAAAACAGGUAAAAUAUUGCCAAAAUAUCAAUACCAUCCCAAAGUUCUCUUAAGAAAUGAAAUUGAGAAAACUGCAUAACCAGCAGAGCCUUAUUAUAAAGAUUGAACAAUGACACACAUGGCUAAGAACAAUUUCACAAAAUGAACUUUGCCAAUGGCUGAGAAAUUACUAGACAAGAUUGCGCCAUCUAACAAAUUCUAAACAGUUCAAAAUAUCUGAUUCUACUGUAACAUAAUGCAGCUCAACUCUUCUAUUCUUCCCCAAUUCUAAAAAAUAAAUACCACGAACUUUGCCAAGGAUUCUAGAACAACAGCACAUCAUUGGUUUCCAAAAUGAAAAAGGGAAAUAAUCCAUGGUCCUGUUUUGUUUAAUAAUGCAAAGAAACAAAAGCAACAUUAAGAGAUGAUAGGAUCGCUUCAAAAUCCCAUGAUGUAUAGAAAACUGACCCUUUAUGACCACGCCUAA